rnacentral:rRNA from 1 species
CCUACGGGUGGCAGCAGUGGGGAAUAUUGCACAAUGGGGGAAACCCUGAUGCAGCGACGCCGCGUGAGUGAAGAAGUAUUUCUGUAUGUAAAGCUCUAUCAGCAGUGAAGAAAAUGACAGUAGCUGACCAAGAAGCCCCGGCUAACUACGUGCCAGCAGCCGCGGUAAUACGUAGGGGGCAAGCGUUCUCCGGAGUUACUGGGUGUAAAGGGAGCGGCGCCGGGUUUGUAAGUCAGGAGUGAAAGCCCGGGGCCGAACCCCGGGACUGCGUUUGAAACUUUGUAACUGGAGUACAGGAGUGGCAGGCGGCCUUCCUGGUGUCGCGGUGCACUGCGUAGAUUUCCG